GGGGAGCAUCCAAAAGCUGGGAUGUUAACUGAUACAAUCUUCCUACAUAAAACCUCUUAGUGUUUCCUGCUUGCAGUAUUUAAGCAAUACCUGCAAGUCUCAGAUUCUCAGAGACAUGA